GCACCCAAAGAUAGCCAAAUCGCUGGGUUUCUAGGAACCAGCGGCAAUGCUCUCAGCUCCCUCGACGUCCACUUUGCUCCCAUUCCUACCCCUGGUAGCAUCAAACCACAACCUGGAGGCUCUGGAACCGGCGGUGGCGGUUCAAAACCUGGUGGUUCUGGAAAUGAAUCUGGUGGUGGCGGCGGUGGUUCAAAACCCGGUGGUUCUGGAAAUGAAUCUGGUGGCGGCAGUUCAAAACCUGGUGGUUCUGGAAAUGAAUCUGGUGGCGGCGGCGGCGGUGGUUCAAAACCUGGUGGUUCUGGAAAUGAAUCUGGUGGCGGCGGUGGUUCUGGAAAUGAAACCGGUAAUGAUGGACCAGGAAAGAUGGGACCGCUUGGUGGUGAUAAGGGAAAUGUAUUCGACGAUGUUGGUUUCGAGGGUGUGAAGAAAAUAACCGUCGGAGCAGACCA
rnacentral:lncRNA from 1 species